rnacentral:misc_RNA from 1 species
GAUGAAGAACGCAGCGAAAUGCGAUAAGUAAUGUGAAUUGCAGAAUUCAGUGAAUCAUCGAAUCUUUGAACGCACCUUGCACUCCUUGGUAUUCCGAGGAGUACGCCUGUUCGAGUGUUAUGAAGCUCUCAAAACGCAAUUGGCUUAAAACCUGAUUGUUGUUUGGAUUUGAACUUUGCCGUGUUAUAACGGCUGGUUUUAAAAGUAUUAGCUGGUACUAGAACGAAUUGGUUCUACUCAACGUGAUAAUUAUCUGAUCGUUGAGGACAUUCCUUUCACGAGGAAUGGCCAUAGUAAAUUCAAUGGACUGCUUCUAAUCUGGCUUUAAUUCUUUAUUGGAUUAACCACUUUUCAAAUCUGACCUCGAAUCAGGUGGGACUACCCGCUGAACUUAAGCAUAUCAAUAAGCGGAGGA